rfam:Mustela putorius furo unplaced genomic scaffold scaffold00187, whole genome shotgun sequence.
GGAUGUGAGAGUGAUCUGGCUGUGAGAUCUGUCACCUCAUUGAUUUCCAGGGUUGAUUUGGCUGAUCUGACUGUCAAAGCAGGUGUCCCCUUCCUCCCUCACCACUCCACAUGCAUCCCUCCUGAAGCUGCAUGCUCAGUCCAAAGAGGACAGCUUUCCCUGAUACAGGAGGGCUGUUGUUCUGUCAUGGGUACACAAGUCACUGUGCUCCCCUUCUAGAACCUCCAAACAAGCUCUCCAGGUCUGUUUUUAGGAGAACAUAAGGUAGUCAAGCUUCCAAGACUCAGAAUCGCAUGCUUUUAUCUCUCCUCUCCAGUUUGUUUGCAAGC